rnacentral:rRNA from 1 species
GUUGCAGUUAAAAAGCUCGUAGUUGGAUUUCUGGUACGCCAGCGCUGACCCUGUUCCAAUACGGAUAUGUGUGUCGGAUUUUGGCUGCCAUCCUUCCAGAGAACUCGUUCUACCCUUCACUGGGCCGGGACAGCGAUCUGGAACUUUUACUUUGAAAAAAUUAGAGUGUUCAAAGCAGGCUUGCGCUAUGAAUACAUUAGCAUGGAAUAAUAAUCUAGGACUCCGGUUCUAUUUUAUUGGUUUCUAGAACUGGUUUAAUGAUUGAUAGGGAUAGUUGGGGGUGCUAGUAUUCAGCGGCCAGAGGUGAAAUUCUUGGAUUCGCUGAAGACUAACUUAUGCGAAAGCAUUCACCAAGGAUGUCUUCUUUAAUCAAGAACGAAAGUUGGGGGAUCGAAGACGAUCAGAUACCGUCGUAGUCUCAACCAUAAACUAUACCGACUAAGGAUGAGUGAACGUUGCAUAUUCGACUUCAUUCGCACUUUAUGAGAAAUCAAAGUCUUUAGGUUCUGGGGGGAGUAUGGUCGC